CUCACCCAAUUUAAGCAAUUUGAUUAAGAUGUGCCUUCUUCAUACUUCGUACUUUUUGGAUUGGGAUAUGUAGCUUUAAAAAAACAAAUUUGAAAAGAUUUCGAUCAUUUUAUCUUCCUUUUUUUCUCUUUUUUUCUUCUUUGUUUUCUUUCUGGGACUCUAAAUGUAUGAAUUUUAGGUCAAUUGAAGUUGCCUCCCAACUAGCUUCCUGCUGCUUUCGAAGGGGUCUGUUUUCUGUCUGUGUUUCACUUUGGAUGGUUUCUAUUACACACCUUCAAGUUCAUUGAUCUUUCCUUUUGUAGUGUCUCUCUAAUCUCAUAAUCUCAUCCAGUGAAUUUCCUUUAUCUCAAAAAUGGUUUCAUCUCUAAAAGUUUGACUUGGGGCUUUUUAAUGUCUUUCAUAUCUCUACUUAACAUUAUCAUGUGGAGCAGAGUGAUAAUAACUACAGUCCAUCUUUAUCUAUGAAUUCCUGCAUCUGUGCCAUUUGUGAGUCAGUUUUCAGUUGUUGAUAUUCCUCCUCAUGACAUGAUAUGUUUUCCUGCCUCUUUGCAUACUUGGUAAUUUUUUACUGUAUGCUAGACAUCACGUACUUUUCCUUGUUAGAUCCUGGAUAGUUUUGCACUCCUAAAAUUAUUUUAAAACUUUUAUGGGAUGAAGUUCCUUUACUUGGAAACAAUUUGAUACAUUUGAGGCUUGAUUUUAAGCUUUAUCGGGUGGGGCCUAAAUUAGUCUCGGACUGAUUAUGCUCCACUACUGGGCUGACACCAUGCUGAUAAAGCUGAAUAAAGAGAAAAAUCAAUCAAUAAGUAUUCACACGUAUUCACAAACCAUAAUGAGGAGAAAAAUCCAUCCAAAUAUUCACAUAAUCCUAAAAAAAGAAAUGAAGAACAAAGGGGAAAACUGGAGCAUAUGUAUAUAGAGAACAAGGCAUAAAAUUACAGACCCAAACAUAACCAUGUCAAUACUUAUUUAAAUAUUAGUGGACCAAAGAUUUCAGCUAAAAGGUG
rnacentral:lncRNA from 1 species